rnacentral:rRNA from 1 species
AAACUUUCAACAACGGAUCUCUUGGUUCCGGCAUCGAUGAAGAACGCAGCGAAAUGCGAUAAGUAAUGUGAAUUGCAGAAUUCCGUGAAUCAUCGAAUCUUUGAACGCACAUUGCGGCCCCUGGUAUUCCGGGGGCCAUGCCUGUUCGAGCGUCAUUU